rnacentral:lncRNA from 1 species
CAAAUUUUGGGGAGGGGUGACCCCGCCCCCUUCUGCUGGCUCCGCCCCCUUUUGCUGACCCCGUUCCUAUUGGUCCGUUUUGUCGUGCGUGGCCCCACCCCCUCCCGCCCUUUCAAUCCAAUGAGGCCACGCCCAAUUAUCUAAAGCCCCGCCCCCUUUUCCCCUUUUUGGCCACGCCCCUUCAAGAUGGCCGCCCGGCUCCCCUGUGGGCGGGGCAGCUGCGCCGUCGCCAUGACAACGAGGAACUGGCCGUGAGUUUGGCUCCGCCCUCUCCGCCCCACCGUUGGGCUCUAUGGGGUGGUUAUGCGGUGCUUCUGGGGCUCUAUGGGGCGGUUAUGGGGCUCUGUGGGGCUCUAUGGGGUGGUUAUGGGGUGGUUAUGGGGCUCUAUGGGGUGGUUAUGGGGCUCUAUGGGGCUCUAUGGGGUGGUUAUGGGGCUCUGUGGGGCUCUAUGGGGUGUCUUUGGGGUUUUUAUGGGUCCCUAUGGGUCCCUUUGGGGUCUCUAUGCGGUGUUUCUCUAUUGUUCUUUCCUCUUUAUGGUUCUCUCUAUGGUUCUGUCCUCUCUAUGGUUUUCUCUAUGGUUCUUCAUACGGUUUUUCUUCUCUCUACGAUUUUCUGCUCUCUAUGGUUCUCUUUUCUCUAGGGUUCUCUCCUCUCUAUGGUUCUCUCUAUGGUUUUCUACUCUCUACCAUUUUCUCCUCUCUCUGGUUUUCUACUCUACCAUUUUCUCCUCUCUAUGGUUUUCUACUCUCUACCAUUUUCUCCUCUCUAUGGUUCUCUCUUCUCUAUGGUUCUUCCUAUGAUUCUCUCCUCUCUAUGUUUCUCUUCUCUCUAUGGUUCUCUGCUCUCUAUGAUUCUCUCCUCUCUAUGAUCCUCUCCUCUCUAUGCUUUUCUCCUCUCUAUGGCUCUUCUUCUGCUCCUUUCCUCUCUCUGUUCCUCUCCUCUCUACGAUUCCCUUCUCUCUUCACCUCCCCCUGCCCUGA